rnacentral:rRNA from 1 species
CUAAAGAGCUCGUAGGCGGCUUGUCGCGUCUGCUGUGAAAACCAGAGGCUCCACCUCUGGCCUGCAGUGGGUACGGGCAAGCUAGAGUGCGGUAGGGGAGAUUGGAAUUCCUGGUGUAGCGGUGGAAUGCGCAGAUAUCAGGAGGAACACCGAUGGCGAAGGCAGAUCUCUGGGCCGUAACUGACGCUGAGGAGCGAAAGCAUGGGGAGCGAACAGGAUUAGAUACCCUGGUAGUCCAUGCCGUAAACGUUGGGAACUAGAUGUAGGGCCUGUUCCACGGGUUCUGUGUCGUAGCUAACGCAUUAAGUUCCCCGCCUGGGGAGUACGGCCGCAAGGCUAAAACUCAAAGGAAUUGACGGGGGCCCGCACAAGCGGCGGAGCAUGCGGAUUAAUUCGAUGCAACGCGAAGAACCUUACCAAGGCUUGACAUAUACGAGAACACUGUAGAGAUACAGGACUCUUUGGACACUCGUAAACAGGUGGUGCAUGGUUGUCGUCAGCUCGUGUCGUGAGAUGUUCGGUUAAGUCCGGCAACGAGCGCAACCCUCGUCCUAUGUUGCCAGCACGUUAUGGUGGGAACUCAUGGGAUACUGCCGUGGUCAACACGGAGGAAGGUGGGGAUGACGUCAAAUCAUCAUGCCCCUUAUGUCUUGGGCUUCACGCAUGCUACAAUGGCCGAUACAAAGGGUUGCGAUACCGUGAGGUGGA